AACGAACGCUGGCGGCAUGCCUAACACAUGCAAGUCGAACGAGACCUUCGGGUCUAGUGGCGCACGGGUGCGUAACGCGUGGGAACCUGCCCUUAGGUUCGGAAUAACUCCCCGAAAGGGGUGCUAAUACCGGAUAAGGUCUUCGGACCAAAGAUUUAUCGCCUUUGGAUGGGCCCGCGUGGGAUUAGCUAGUUGGUAGGGUAAAAGCCUACCAAGGCGACGAUCCAUAGCUGGGCUGAGAGGAUGAUCAGCCACACUGGGACUGAGACACGGCCCAGACUCCUACGGGAGGCAGCAGUGGGGAAUAUUGGACAAUGGGCGAAAGCCUGAUCCAGCAAUGCCGCGUGAGUGAUGAAGGCAUUAGGGUUGUAAAGCUCUUUUACCCGGGAUGAUAAUGACAGUACCGGGAGAAUAAGCUCCGGCUAACUCCGUG
rnacentral:rRNA from 1 species